CGCAUAUUUUGUCCAGGCGCAGCUCUACCGCCGACGAAAGACAUCAAGGCCUUGAUCGAAAACCAUCGAGGCGUCUGAAAGGUCGCGCCGAUCUGCCGGGUUCUAUCGAUCGGCC
rfam:Fulvimarina pelagi HTCC2506 scf_1100011000323 genomic scaffold, whole genome shotgun sequence.